GCCAGGGCGGGGCCGCGCCGGUCGCGGCCUCGACCGCCACGGGAUCGAGGCCGAGAUCGAUGUCGAGGGUGCCGAGAUCGUCGCCCCGGGCCCUGGCG
rnacentral:tRNA from 1 species